GACGAACCGUGCGAACGUUGUUCGGAAUCACUGGGCUUAAAGGGCGCGUAGGCGGGCUGGUAAGUCCGGGGUGAAAUCCUGCAGCUCAACUGCAGAAGUGCCUUGGAUACUGCCAGUCUCGAGGGAGGUAGGGGCAUGUGGAACUUCCGGUGGAGCGGUGAAAUGCGUAGAUAUCGGAAGGAACGCCGGUGGCGAAAGCGACGUGCUGGACCUCUACUGACGCUGAGGCGCGAAAGCCAGGGGAGCAAACGGG
rnacentral:rRNA from 1 species